AGGAUGUGUGUCUGUUUCAACUCUCUCCUAAACAUUUUCAAACCAUUACAGUAAAGCUAUAAAACUCCUCCUGAGGUGACAGGACCGUUCCAAAUGGCACCCUAUUCUGAAUAUAGUGCACUGUCUAGGGAAUAGGAUGGCAUUUGGGAUGUAGCCUAGAGCAGCCUCUGGGGAGAUAAAACAGUGUUUUACGGGGUGUAAUAUAAUAGAGCAGCCUCUGGGGGGAUAAAACAGUGUUUUACAGGGUGUAAUAUAAUAGAGCAGCCUCUGGGGGGAUAAAACAGUGUUUUACAGGGUGUAAUAUAAUAGAGCAGCCUCUGGGGGGAUAAAACAGUGUUUUACGGGGUGUAAUAUAAUAGAGCAGCCUCUGGGGGGAUAAAACAGUGUUUUACAGGGUGUAAUAUAAUAGAGCAGCCUCUGGGGGGAUAAAACAGUGUUUUACGGGGUGUAAUAUAAUAGAGCAGCCUCUGGGGGGAUAAAACAGUGUUUUACGGGGUGUAAUAUAAUAGAGCAGCCUCUGGGGGGAUAAAACAGUGUUUUACGGUGUGUAAUUCACCACGGUGUGUAAUAUAAUAGAGCAGCCUCUGGGUGGAUAAAACAGUGUUUUACGGGGUGUAAUUCACCACGGUGUGUAAUAUAAUAGAGCAGCCUCUGGGGGGAUAAAACAGUGUUUUACGGGGUGUAAUAUAAUAGAGCAGCCUCUGGGUGGAUAAAACAGUGUUUUACGGGGUGUAAUAUAAUAGAGCAGCCUCUGGGGGGAUAAAACAGUGUUUUACAGGGUGUAAUUCACCACGGUGUGUAAUAUAAUAGAGCAGCCUCUGGGUGGAUAAAACAGUGUUUUACGGGGUGUAAUAUAAUAGAGCAGCCUCUGGGGGGAUAAAACAGUGUUUUACAGGGUGUAAUAUAAUAGAGCAGCCUCUGGGUGGAUAAAACAGUGUUUUACGCGGCGUAAUAUAAUAGAGCAGCCUCUGGGUGGGUAAAACAGUGUUUUACAGGGUGUAAUAUAAUAGAGCAGCCUCUGGGGGGAUAAAACAGUGUUUUACGGGGUGUAAUAUAAUAGAGCAGCUCCUCUCCUCCUGUCUAUAUCUCUCUCUCUCCUUCUCUCCCUAUCUCUCAUUCUCUCUCUGUGUGUGUGAUGGUGUGUGUGUGUGUGUGUGCCUGCCCACGGCUUUACAUUAAUCUAAGUGAUCGCCUUAAUAGCUUUAGUGCACUAGAUGAACUGCAUGUAUCUAUCAUAUAGCCCUGUCUUCCCACUACAACACACACACCCAUGUGAUCUGCACUCCAUCUAUCUCCAUUGAAACAACAGUACAGCCUCCCUCUAGCUCUCAUAUUGAGUAUAGCUACCUCUAAAUCUUCCCUUCAGCUAUUUUACAGCCCUCCUCUUCCUCUCCUCCCCCUAGCCCCCUGUGGGUAUUUUUCUUUCUUCUCCUCCGCAUCCCUCCAUCCCAUCACUCGUUCAAAGGAGGAGUAAUUCACAGAUCGAUUCCCUGGUGAUGAAACCAAAAGAGGCGCUGCUUGACUCAGGACCCAGAGGCCCCGUGUCAUUAGUUUCCUCCCUGACAGUCAUAUUUCAGGCAACUGCACCAGCACCACGGCUCCAUAAUGUCCGCAAGGCCCCUAUAAUUCUGCCUGGGCUAAAGAGGCUGAAGAGCCAAGAUGGCUGGCAGUGGCUCUUAAACUAGACAGUGGGAGUUGACUGGGGGAG